GCGGGUGUCUUCUAAUGGCAAGAAGCCUGGUUCCCAUCCAGUAAACGACGGUUCGAUUCCGUUCACCCGCUCCA
rnacentral:tRNA from 1 species